GAUGAACGCUGGCGGCGUGCCUAAUACAUGCAAGUCGAGCGAACAGACGAGGAGCUUGCUCCUCUGACGUUAGCGGCGGACGGGUGAGUAACACGUGGAUAACCUACCUAUAAGACUGGGAUAACUUCGGGAAACCGGAGCUAAUACCGGAUAAUAUAUUGAACCGCAUGGUUCAAUAGUGAAAGACGGUUUUGCUGUCACUUAUAGAUGGAUCCGCGCCGCAUUAGCUAGUUGGUAAGGUAACGGCUUACCAAGGCAACGAUGCGUAGCCGACCUGAGAGGGUGAUCGGCCACACUGGAACUGAGACACGGUCCAGACUCCUACGGGAGGCAGCAGUAGGGCAUCUUCCGCAAUGGGCGAAAGCCUGACGGAGCAACGCCGCGUGAGUGAUGAAGGUCUUCGGAUCGUAAAACUCUGUUAUUAGGGAAGAACAAAUGUGUAAGUAACUAUGUACGUCUUGACGGUACCUAAUCAGAAAGCCACGGCUAACUACGUG
rnacentral:rRNA from 1 species